rnacentral:rRNA from 1 species
GCAAGUCGAACGCGAAAGUACCUUCGGGUGCGAGUAGAGUGGCGGACGGGUGAGUAACGCGUAGGAAUCUGCCCAGUAGUGGGGGACAACUCGAGGAAACUCGAGCUAAUACCGCAUACGCCCUACGGGGGAAAGCGGGGGAUCUUCGGACCUCGCGCUAUUGGAUGAGCCUGCGUCGGAUUAGCUUGUUGGUGGGGUAAAGGCCUACCAAGGCGACGAUCCGUAGCUGGUCUGAGAGGAUGAUC